rnacentral:tRNA from 1 species
AGAAGCCAUUUUUGGCAUUUAACUGUUAAUUAAAAGCUAGUCUAACCGACCUACUUAG